AUCUGAUGUUGAGGACACCUUGCACACAGACAGUUGAAUCGCUCCCAGUACUCAUGUAAUGUCUCACCUGGUUGUUGUUUAAUCCCACGGAUUUCAUUCCUCAAUGU